rnacentral:lncRNA from 1 species
AUGAGAGAGAACCUCGGAGGAUCCCGCAGUCAGCUCUGCCCUCCUGGUGGACUUGCCCCCUCUGAGCCUGCCUGUUGGGGACCACAGGAGGAAGCUGACUUUGAAGGUCUUUCUUGGGAAGCACUAUGGGAUGAAGGUCAAGUCGAAGUCCCAGCCGUGGUGGUGAUGGCGGUGGAGAUAACGGCGAGUCAGCAGGAAGGGAGCUGGAGUUCUGAGAAGUGGGGAAAGCGGGGGUUUCUUGUUGUCUAUACCCCAUACCUUGGACCACUCGGACGUCAAGUAGCAUGA